rnacentral:rRNA from 1 species
GGGGAAUAUUGCACAAUGGGGGAAACCCUGAUGCAGCGACGCCGCGUGGAGGAAGAAGGUCUUCGGAUUGUAAACUCCUGUUGUUGAGGAAGAUAAUGACGGUACUCAACAAGGAAGUGACGGCUAACUACGUGCCAGCAGCCGCGGUAAAACGUAGGUCACAAGCGUUGUCCGGAAUUACUGGGUGUAAAGGGAGCGCAGGCGGGAAGACAAGUUGGAAGUGAAAUCCAUGGGCUCAACCCAUGAACUGCUUUCAAAACUGUUUUUCUUGAGUAGUGCAGAGGUAGGCGGAAUUCCCGGUGUAGCGGUGGAAUGCGUAGAUAUCGGGAGGAACACCAGUGGCGAAGGCGGCCUACUGGGCACCAACUGACGCUGAGGCUCGAAAGUGUGGGUAGCAAACAGGAUUAGAUACCCUGGUAGUCCACACCGUAAACGAUGAUUACUAGGUGUUGGAGGAUUGACCCCUUCAGUGCCGCAGUUAACACAAUAAGUAAUCCACCUGGGGAGUACGACCGCAAGGUUGAAACUCAAAGGAAUUGACGGGGGCCCGCACAAGCAGUGGAGUAUGUGGUUUAAUUCGACGCAACGCGAAGAACCUUACCAAGUCUUGACAUCCCUUGACAGACAUAGAAAUAUGUUUUCUCUUCGGAGCAAGGAGACAGGUGGUGCAUGGUUGUCGUCAGCUCGUGUCGUGAGAUGUUGGGUUAAGUCCCGCAACGAGCGCAACCCUUAUGGUCAGUUACUACGCAAGAGGACUCUGGCCAGACUGCCGUUGACAAAACGGAGGAAGGUGGGGAUGACGUCAAAUCAUCAUGCCCUUUAUGACUUGGGCUACACACGUACUACAAUGGCGUUAAACAAAGAGAAGCAAGACCGCGAGGUGGAGCAAAACUCAGAAACAACGUCCCAGUUCGGACUGCAGGCUGCAACUCGCCUGCACGAAGUCGGAAUUGCUAGUAAUCGUGGAUCAGCAUGCCACGGUGAAUACGUUCCCG